rnacentral:rRNA from 1 species
CGGGUGGCAGCAGUAAGGAAUAUUGGUCAAUGGACGCAAGUCUGAACCAGCCAUGCCGCGUGAAGGAUGAAGGUCCUCUGGAUUGUAAACUUCUUUUAUCUGGGACGAAAAAAGGGAAUUCUUUCUCACUUGACGGUACCAGAGGAAUAAGCACCGGCUAACUCCGUGCCAGCAGCCGCGGUAAUACGGAGGGUGCAAGCGUUAUCCGGAUUUACUGGGUUUAAAGGGUGCGUAGGUGGGCAGUUAAGUCAGUGGUGAAAUCUUCGAGCUCAACUCGGAAACUGCCAUUGAUACUAUCUGUCUUGAAUAUCCUGGAGGUGAGCGGAAUAUGUCAUGUAGCGGUGAAAUGCUUAGAUAUGACAUAGAACACCAAUUGCGAAGGCAGCUCACUACGGGAUGAUUGACACUGAGGCACGAAAGCGUGGGGAUCAAACAGGAUUAGAUACCCCAGU